UACGGAGGGGGCUAGCGUUGUUCGGAAUUACUGGGCGUAAAGCGUACGUAGGCGGCUUUGUAAGUUAGAGGUGAAAGCCCGGGGCUCAACUCCGGAAUUGCCUUUAAGACUGUAUCGCUAGAAUCGUGGAGAGGUGAGUGGAAUUCCGAGUGUAGAGGUGAAAUUCGUAGAUAUUCGGAAGAACGCCAGUGGCGAAGGCGACUCACUGGACACGUAUUGACGCUGAGGUACGAAAGCGUGGGGAGCAAACAGG
rnacentral:rRNA from 1 species